UAACUUCAGGCCCCCAUGCCCUUUCUUUUUCUUAGCAGGGUUCUCACUGAAGUCAGAGGCAGAGAUGGGCCUGUGACCAGAGGCAGCUCUUCAGGUACAGAACUCCCGCACUUCAAAGAUCAGUGAUUUUUUUCUGUCUGGACAUCCCAUCAACCAAUGUAGCUCUCGGGAUGGAGAAUUUGACCUAGAAAAAGAUCGUCACUUGCCUAAAGUUGCAUAAUAAACUAAUGGCAACUCUACAGCUGCUUCCAAAGGAGGAAUUGUGUAAGGGCUCAUGAACACUGAAAAGGUCUACAGAGAAAAAAAAUUUGUGUCUGUACUCUGAUAUAAUUGGGAUUAGGUCCCAACAUGGUAUAAGGAAGAGAUGCUCUGUAAGGGUCAGAGCAUUUGAAUUCAAAAUCAUGAUCCCGAGUGAGUUGUGUAAUCUUUCUGAGUGUCAAUUUUUUGGGCAACUAAAUGACACAAUAAAUAGAGCACUGGAUCUACAGUCAAGAAUACCUGAGUUUGAAUCCUGCUUUGGAAAUGUAAUAACAAU